CCUACGGGAGGCAGCAGUGAGGAAUAUUGGUCAAUGGGCGAGAGCCUGAACCAGCCAUGCCGCGUGAAGGAUGACUGCCCUAUGGGUUGUAAACUUCUUUUAUACAAGAGCAAUAAGGCAUACGUGUAUGCUGAUGAGAGUACUGUAUGAAUAAGCACCGGCUAACUCCGUGCCAGCAGCCGCGGUAAUACGGAGGGUGCAAGCGUUAUCCGGAUUUAUUGGGUUUAAAGGGUGCGUAGGCGGUAGAUUAAGUCAGCGGUGAAAUACCAGUGCUCAACACUGGGACUGCCAUUGAUACUGGUUUACUUGAAUUUGUUAGAGGAUGGCGGAAUGUGUAGUGUAGCGGUGAAAUGCUUAGAUAUUACACAGAACACCAAUUGCGAAGGCAGCUGUCCAUGACGAUAUUGACGCUGAAGCACGAAAGCGUGGGGAUCGAACAGGAUUAGAUACCCUGGUAGUCCACGCCGUAACGAUGAAUGCUAGUUGUUCGGGUCAAUUGAGACCUGAGUAACCAAGGGAAACCGAUAAGCAUUCCACCUGGGGAGUACGGUCGCAAGACUGAAACUCAAAGGAAUUGACGGGGGCCCGCACAAGCGGAGGAACAUGUGGUUUAAUUCGAUGAUACGCGAGGAACCUUA
rnacentral:rRNA from 1 species